GGAGGGGGGGCCGCGACCCGGCCCGCGGAGCCGGCGCCAGCGGGCUGCUGAGGUGGCUGUCGCCGGCUCGGAGCUGCGGCUUCCCCGGGUCGAGCCCCCGAUGGAGGCCGAGGCCGCGGAUGGCCCCCCGGGAGGGGUCGAGGCGGCGCUCAGCUGCUUCUCUUUCAACCAGGACUGCACAUCCCUAGCAAUUGGAACCAAAGCCGGUUAUAAGCUGUUUUCUUUGAGUUCUGUGGAGCAACUGGACCAAGUCCAUGGAAGCAACGAAAUCCCGGAUGUCUACAUCGUGGAGCGCCUCUUCUCCAGCAGCCUGGUCGUGGUGGUCAGUCACACAAAGCCGCGGCAGAUGAACGUCUAUCACUUCAAGAAAGGCACGGAGAUCUGUAAUUACAACUAUUCCAGCAACAUCUUGUCCAUAAGGCUGAACCGGCAGAGGCUGCUGGUGUGCCUGGAGGAGGCCAUCUACAUCCACAACAUCAAAGACAUGAAGCUCUUGAAGACCAUCCUGGAUAUUCCUGCCAACCCAGCAGGUCUCUGUGCCCUCUCUAUCAACCAUUCCAAUUCUUACGUGGCCUAUCCUGGAAGCCUGACCACAGGCGAGAUUGUGCUUUACGACGGACACUCCCUGAAAACUGUCUGCACGAUUGCUGCCCACGAGGGGACGCUGGCCGCCAUCACCUUCAAUGCCUCGGGCUCCAAACUAGCGAGCGCAUCUGAAAAAGGCACCGUCAUCCGGGUGUUCUCUGUACCUGACGGGCGAAAGCUCUACGAGUUUCGGAGAGGAAUGAAAAGGUACGUGACAAUCAGCUCCCUAGUUUUUAGUAUGGACUCGCAGUUCCUCUGCGCCUCAAGCAACACCGAGACCGUGCACAUCUUCAAGCUGGAGCACCUCACCAACAGCCGACCCGAGGAGCCCUCCACCUGGACUGGCUACAUGGGAAAGAUGUUCAUGGCCGCUUCCAACUACCUCCCCGCCCAGGUGUCCGACAUGAUGAACCAGGACAGGGCCUUUGCCACCGGGCGCUUGCACUUCUCUGGGCAGAGGAACAUCUGCACCCUCUCCACGAUCCAGAAACUGCCAAGACUCCUGGUCGCGUCUUCCGAUGGACACCUUUACAUCUACAAUUUGGACCCUCAGGACGGAGGAGAAUGUGUCUUAAUCAAGACCCACAGCUUGCUUAGCUCAGGAACAACAGAAGAAAACAAAGAAAAUGACCUCAGACCUCCAUUACCUCAGUCUUAUGCAGCGACCGUGGCCAGACCAAGCACGUCUUCUGCCUCUACCGUGCCAGGUUAUUCUGAGGACGGCGGGGCCCUCCGAGGAGAGGUUAUUCCUGAACACGAGUUUGCGACGGGACCAGUAUGCCUUGACGACGAGAAUGAAUUUCCCCCUGUGAGCAGUAGGAAUCCCUAAAAGAGCGGCCCAGUCUGUGUGCUGGGAGGGAAACCUUCCCCUCGCGCACCAGGCGAGGUCACUUUCCCGGUGGUCUAGUCCUGUAACAGCUAACCUCCUCGCUCCCGUUCAGAAAGCCACAGACGGUGUGCCGUGCCGUGUGCUUCAGACCCUGUAGACUGGCCACCAGGUGUCGGGCUGAACACGGCAGCAUUAGAAUAACACCGGAUACUAAUCGGGGGGGCGGGUCUCGGCGGCCUCACUACGUCCGGAGGCCUGGAACCCUUAGCUUGGCUUCGUUAGCACUAUCUCUGCUGCUCGCGAGGCAGGAAUUCACGCCUGCAUCAACUCCUGUUUUCCUGAGGCUCCUAAGGAUGUGUUUGUGGGAUCCUGCCACCUUUUUGCUAACGACGAUGCUCUAACGGGGCUGGGCCGCUGCUCUCUGCAAGCCAGCCGGACCCUCACCCUCCUCCGGCUCGGAUAAUCUUGUGCCGUGGAAGUCAGAAGGGCAAAACGAAGCAGUCAUGAUGAGAAGCGCACCUCAGAAAGCAGGACACCCCCUGUCAGGUGGUUGUGGAGAAAACAAGGAAGGUGGAAGAAUGGAGUACAGUUGUGUGCGCAGAAAGGGGGGCAGGAAUCCCAGGUGCCGCCUGCUUAAGCCACGGGACGCGGUCCACUGCUCACCAAACUCUCCUCCGCCCCGGUUGCCAGCAGGCAUGGGAGAGACUAUAUGAAAUCUGUUACAGCCAUCGCGUCGAUGCUCACUAACCACGUUGGUCUAUAGCCGGAACUUUAUAUGAACGAGGGCAUCCUUUUUAAACGUAUGCCAUGUAAAAAUGUACGUAGAGGAAAACCCCUUUGAAUUGUAUUUCUUGUAUAUGACAUAUAGAGAGACUGCUUUUAGCCAGGCAAAGUAUUUUUGCAGUGAUUGGAAUGAAUCAUUUAUUACCUUGGAGUCCCAUUUAGGACACUUAUAAUAAAAUCAUGGCAAUGUGUUUUUGA